CCACAUUGGGACUGAGACACGGCCCAGACUCCUACGGGAGGCAGCAGUGGGGAAUAUUGCACAAUGGGCGCAAGCCUGAUGCAGCGACGCCGCGUGAGGGAUGGAGGCCUUCGGGUUGUAAACCUCUUUUAUCGGGGAGCAAGCGAGAGUGAGUUUACCCGUUGAAUAAGCACCGGCUAACUACGUGCCAGCAGCCGCGGUAAUACGUAGGGUGCAAGCGUUAUCCGGAAUUAUUGGGCGUAAAGGGCUCGUAGGCGGUUCGUCGCGUCCGGUGUGAAAGUCCAUCGCUUAACGGUGGAUCCGCGCCGGGUACGGGCGGGCUUGAGUGCGGUAGGGGAGACUGGAAUUCCCGGUGUAACGGUGGAAUGUGUAGAUAUCGGGAAGAACACCAAUGGCGAAGGCAGGUCUCUGGGCCGUUACUGACGCUGAGGAGCGAAAGCGUGGGGAGCGAACAGGAUUAGAUACCCUGGUAGUCCACGCCGUAAACGGUGGAUGCUGGAUGUGGGGCCCGUUCCACGGGUUCCGUGUCGGAGCUAACGCGUUAAGCAUCCCGCCUGGGGAGUACGGCCGCAAGGCUAAAACUCAAAGAAAUUGACGGGGGCCCGCACAAGCGGCGGAGCAUGCGGAUUAAUUCGAUGCAACGCGAAGAACCUUACCUGGGCUUGACAUGUUCCCGACGGUCGUAGAGAUACGGCUUCCCUUCGGGGCGGGUUCACAGGUGGUGCAUGGUCGUCGUCAGCUCGUGUCGUGAGAUGUUGGGUUAAGUCCCGCAACGAGCGCAACCCU
rnacentral:rRNA from 1 species